AGAAACAGAAAGCAUUUAUCAAAUUAAUGUUAUUCUGAUUGUUUUGCAGCAAAUUCCAGGUGUUUCUCCAAUAGGACAAUAUACCACUCUUUUGCCUUUGCUGGUUAUUCUUGCAAUUUCAGGCAUCAAAGAGGUUGUAGAAGAUUAUAAACGGUAUAUGGCAGACAAAGUAGUUAACUCAAAGACCA
rnacentral:lncRNA from 1 species